GGAAGGUGGGGGGGAGCUGGGGAGGUAGAGCGUAGGGUGCAGGCGUUGUCGGGGGGUGCUGGGCGGGAAGGGGGCGGUGGCGGUUUCGUGGAUGAGCCGUGGAGGCCCCCGGCGCAACGGGGGAGGGUCGGGGGAAACGGCGGAGCUGGAGGGAGCGAGAGGCUGGUGGAAUUCCCGGAGUAGUGGUGAAAUGCGUAGAGAUCGGGAGGAACACCGGUGGCGAAGGCGGCCAGCUGGCGCUGACCUGACGCUGAGGCGCGAAGGCGUGGGGAGCGAACGGGAUUAGAUACCCUAGUAGUC
rnacentral:rRNA from 1 species